rnacentral:rRNA from 1 species
CGUUUAGGGGUAAACCUGAGAAACCCGAAAGGUCGAAGGAAGAAAUUCAAUCGCGCCCGAUAAGGUUAUUAUAUGGCAUUGGUGUCUGAAUGUGAACUUGUUCACAUUCAAACCUGUCAUAUAAUAUGUGUACCUUGUUGGACGCGUGCACUUUUCUUCUGGUAGGACGUUGCGAUCCGUUGGGUGUUGAUCUAAGGUUCGAAUGGUAGCCCACAAUUAGUUGCCCUUACGGGUAACUAAUUGUGGACCUUUGAUACCCGAUCAACUGGCUCGACGGUAUAAAUGUUAUGAUUUUAGGCCGCUCAUUUGUGAGCGUUCGGCUUGUGGCAAGCACGUCAAAUGUUUUAGUACAUCGGACCUAGUGCCGUGUCUAAUCAUUGAUGUCUGUUGGCUGCUUUGUCUCGGACAGACCGUUUAAAAUCAAUCAGCAACGAUAUAGCUUUGGGUAAUUUCAGGACCCGUCUUGAAACACGGACCAAGGAGUCUAGCAUGUACGCAAGUCAUUGGGAAUCACAAAACCUAAGGGCGCAAUGAAAGUAAACGUUGAUCUUUACGGUUAACGAUGGGAAGACGGGCGUAUUUAACUAUUAUAGUUGACGUUCUGCANUCCUGGGGCGUCUCAUUCUCAUUUUAGGAUGAGAA